rnacentral:lncRNA from 1 species
UAGUUAGGCUCCUAUACUUUCGAAAGUACGGAGGCCUCCGUACUUGUAAGUUAUUUUCGAUGAUGAGACUUCUAAUUCGGCGAUCGGUUCCGUUAAAUAUGAUCUACGCUAUUGGAACUAUCUAGAAACCAAAUUUCAUAAUUUUUUGACUUUGUUUGCCUAGUGAACGAGUAGCUUUAAAAUGAACGGCUGAAAAUAAAAAUCUCAUAAAAAACAGCGAUACAGGACUCAAAUUUCAAAUCGGAAGUAUUGUUCUUGCUCUUGAUGCUAAGUAGAAUUUUCUAUUAAAGUUUCAUGUAAUUUGGAUAAUUCUACACCGUUGAACUUAAAAACGUGCCACAUCG